UACGUAGGGUGCAAGCGUUGUCCGGAAUUAUUGGGCGUAAAGAGCUCGUAGGCGGUCUGUCGCGUCGGCUGUGAAAUCCCGAGGCUCAACCUCGGGUCUGCAGUCGAUACGGGCAAACUGGAGUGUUGCAGGGGAGACUGGAAUUCCUGGUGUAGCGGUGGAAUGCGCAGAUAUCAGGAGGAACACCGGUGGCGAAGGCGGGUCUCUGGGCAGUAACUGACGCUGAGGAGCGAAAGCGUGGGGAGCGAACAGG
rnacentral:rRNA from 1 species